rnacentral:rRNA from 1 species
GUCUUUUUGAUUUUAAUUUAAAGUCAAAUCUGCCCACUGAUUAAUAUUAAAGGGCUGCAGUAUAUUGACUGUACAAAGGUAGCAUAAUAAAUAGUCUUUUAAUUGAAGACUUGUAUGAAAGAUUUGAUGAGAUAUAAACUGUCUCUUUUUUAUAUUUAGAAUUUAAUUUUUUAGUAAAAAAGCUAAAAUUAUUUUAAAAGACGAGAAGACCCUAUAGAGUUUUAUAGUUAAUUUAUUUAUAAAUUUAUAUGUAAAAUUUAAAAUUUAAUUAAUUUAAUUAUUUUGUUGGGGUGAUAGAAAAAUAUAUUAAACUUUUUUUUAAAAAAUUACAUUAAUUAAUGAGUAUAUGAUCCAUAAAUUAUGAUUAAAAGAAAAAAUUACCUUAGGGAUAACAGCGUAAUUUUUUUUUUUAGUUCUUAUAGGAAAAAGAGUUUGCGACCUCGAUGUUGGAUUAAGGUAAAAUUUAAAUGUAGAAGUUUAAAAUUUUUGAUCUGUUCGAUCAUUAAAAUCUUACA